CCUACGGGAGGCUGCAGUGAGGAAUAUUGGUCAAUGGACGAGAGUCUGAACCAGCCAAGUCGCGUGAAGGAUGACUGCCCUAUGGGUUGUAAACUUCUUUUAUAUGGGAAUAAAAUGUUCCACGUGUGGGAUUUUGUAUGUACCAUAUGAAUAAGGAUCGGCUAACUCAGUGCCAGCAGCCGCGGUAAUACGGAGGAUCCGAGCGUUAUACGGAUUUUUUGGGGUUAAAGGGAGCGUAGGUGGAUUGUUAAGUCUGUUGGGAAAGUUUGCGGCUCAACCGUAAAAUUGCAGUUGAAACUGGCAGUCUUGAGUACAGUAGAGGUGGGCGGAAUUCGUGGUGUAGCGGUGAAAUGCUUAGAGAUCACGAAGAACUCCGAUUGCGAAGGCAGCUCACUGGCCUGCAACUGACACUGAGGCUCGAAAGUGUGGGUAUCAAACAGGAUUAGAUACCCGGGUAGUC
rnacentral:rRNA from 1 species